ensembl:lncRNA novel transcript, antisense to CPNE9and MTMR14
GAUGCAAUGUGAGAAGAAUAUAAAAUUUGCAUGAAUUUUUAAGAUGAAAUACGGAAACUUCAAAGACAUUUUCAGCCUGACUGCUUUCAGCUAUGCCCCCAGAUUCCCCCAGAGGGACGCUGUCGCUUGCCUUUGCUGACAGGCGACUUGCUAGAAAAGUCUGGGAAGCUCUGGUCUACAGAAGUAGGUAACACCGGCCAAGAACCGCACUUGCAGCAGCUGUCGGAUGGAUUAGGCAGCACAGACAGCAGCAGGGUGUGUGAUCCCAGGGGACAGAAGCAUCUCUCAGCAAGCAGCCAUCUUCUGCAGACUCUGGGAUUUUUCAAGAGUGAGCACACUGGCUACAAAGGAGUCUUCCUACGUGAGGCCUUUGUCAAAGGAAGGGCUACAAAGUGACCAUUCAGCUCCUGGGGUUGAGAGCAAAGGGCCAUGCUAAGCAGGAAGGUGUUCACAAAUACCACCAUGGAUUAGCUGGCUGCAGGGGACACCUACAGUGCAUCAUGUCACCGGGAGUAAGGACCUGUGCCCACAUACUGAGAAGGGAGGAAAAGCCUUCCAGUCAGUCUAAGAACACAGGUAACUUAACCAGCUUCAACAAGAGCCCAAAGUCUUUUGCCCUGAGCAGCAAACAGAGGGAUCCAAGCUCCACCCCCUCUGCUCUCCCACUACAGGACUGGAGAGAACAUGGGACCAAGCAACCCUCAAACUGGAUGGUGGCGGAGCUGAACAACGCUUCAGAGGUCACCUGUCCACAUCCCAGCGGCUCAGACCUCUGCCUAGGAGGGUGGGAGCUCAGCAACAUUUCACUUCCUUAGUUGGAUGCGGCUCAGGGCCCUCUUCACAGCACCCAGAGCUGCAGUUCCUACCGGCUCCCAACUCCCCCGAUGCCCUGCUGAUGGCCAACUCAGAGCAGGUGUCUUUUAGCUAGUCCUUUCUGGAAGGGGGUACAAGAAUACUCACACAAACCGAGCUGGCUCAACCCAGGCAAGAAUACACAGGUCGGGAUGGAGGCCUGGCCUUUUACGCAGCUGCCUAGUGCCAUGACAGAGCCUACAGGCUCUCGGACAAAUGACUAAGGCCAAGUCCUUAACCACAGCUACAGUUUACUGAGCAUUCGUGAAAAGGGGUGGGUGACUCAGAAAUUGGUUCAUGGACCACCACGUAACCUCCAACGGGAGUAAAGCACACAGCUUCUACCUAUAACUGAAAAAAGAGGCUCUCAUCUGACCCUGGAUGUGAGAAAGGAAGCAGCGUGUCAUCCUGGGAGGUGCUGUCAGCCAUUUUGCCACCAUCAGGGAAGCUGGCCAGAGAACAAAGCUAACAUGCAGGAGGCAAUGGGAACAAACUACGGGGAAAUAGAGCUGGAACCUUGAUCAGGCUGCACCUGAAGACUGAUUUUCCACUAGGCUUUUCCAUAUACAGUUGUUCCUUAUUAUUCCUUUUUGUUGCAGGGAAUUGGUUCCAGGAUUGCCACCCACUUACCACCCCACCAAUACCAAGUCCUUGGAUGCUCAAGUCCCUUACAUAAAAUGUAGUAGCACAGCUGAUCCUUGAACACACGCAUGAACUGCACAGGUCCACUCAUAUGCAGAUUAUCUCCUGCCUCUGCUGCCCUACACAGCAAGACAGCCCCUCCCUCUAUUUUUUCCUCAGCAUGAAGACCUUUAUUAUGAUCCACUUCUACUGAACACACAGGAAAUAUAGGUUCCCUUCCUUAUGAUUUUCUUAACAUUUUAUUUUUCUCUAGCUUACCUAAAAAUACAGUAUAUAACAGAUAUACAAAACAUGUGUUAACUGACUUUAUGUUAUUGGUAAGGCUUCUAGUCAACAGCAGGCUAUCUGUAGCUUUUGGGGAGUCAGAGUUAUACCCAGAUUUCAACUGCAUGUGUAGGGGACAGCCCUAAUCCCUGCAUUGUUCAAGAGUCACUUGUAUUUGCAUAUAACCUAUGCACAUCCUCCCAUAUGCUUUAAAUCAUCUCGAUUAUCUGAUACAGUGUCAGUGCUCUGUACAUGGUUGUUACACUGCAUGUUCACAUCUGUAUUACUUUCUAUUGUUUAUGUUAUCUUGAAUGUUUUCAAUCUGGUUGGCUGAUCAUGGAUGUGGAA